UCUCUCAUGGCUCCUAGCACUGUUAAUAUUCAUGCAGCUGAUCUAGCAUUAUAACUCUAGUCAUCUUUUCUACAAGUACUGUGGGUCUUGCGGUUUCCUGCUGAAUUAGGGGGUCUGGAUUGCUGAGAUCGAAGCUGAAACUAACCAGGAAAUGUACCUAUAACAGAAGAAGUGGAUACGGAGAAACAGAAUGGAGGGGAAAAAAAAAAUUCUUGC